CCCCGCGGGCGUUUCCGGAGUCCUCCCCCGACGCCCGACACGGCCUGUUCUCUGUCGUGUCUUGAGUGGCACGAAAGCUGAUCGUGUGGUUCUCAGAUGCAAGUCGCCCGUCACAGCCCCUUCCCCCCGCAGCCGCUCGAGCUGUCUUUGUGGUCGUUAGGGCUAAUCAGCUCGGGCCACACGUUCUUCCCUCGAGGAGCCCGGUCCUCUGACAGCUGGGGGGGGGGGGGGGCCCCCCCCCCCCCCCCCCCCCCCCCCAAAGCCCGGCCUGCAGGGACGUGCCUCCGUUGCCUGGGAGAUGGAGGGGGACCCCGCCACAGGACGUGGGGCAGAAAGCCAGGGCCCGGGGUCGACAUGGUGACCGUCGGUCGGGAGCAGCCCGGGCGGGGGUCGCCGUGGAGGUCCCUGGGUCUCCGUGCUCCGCGCGCUCAGCGCCAGCUGCACGGGGGUCCCCGCGGGCCCUGCCGGCAAUGAGGCCCUCGCCAGCAAGGCUGCUUCUGGGCGUCGGUGGGGGCCUCGGGCCAGGCCCGAGUCCCGGGACCCAGGGAGGGGAGUCCACAGUCGAUCACGGGCCAGGAGCUCCAAUGCCGUUAGAGAGAAAUCCAGUUCCCGUGGGCCCUAGACUUCUCGUGGGACUGCGUUCUUCAGACCAGACCCCGAGCCAAGGACGCACGGCAAACGAUUUCUUAAGAAGCCAGUGCUCCCGGAGACGGGGAGGCGGGCCGUGGCCGGGGAGCACGGCCCAGCCCCGCCUGAGCCCGAGGGAGCCCCGGGGGUGAGCGGUACCGUCUCCGGGUUCACCUCCCAGGGCUCCCACGCCCCAGGGCCCCCAGGUUCAAGGACCGAACACCACUGGUGCCUCGUCCCCAUCGGCCACGGAGGCGGUAAAGGAAGGAAUGUUGCUGCCGAGCCCCCGUCUGUGCUACUCUGGUGUAGCGGCCCGUCCUGGCCAGCGCUCGCGCUCAGCCCUUAGUCCGUUCAACACCGUCCUGGCGCACGGCCUGGGUGCGGUGGCCACAGAGCUCCGGGCUCCGGCCACACGGCAUGGGUGGGACACGCCCGGUCCUGCCCGCCGGGAGUCCUCUGUCCUACCCUCAGCCUCCUCGCUUCCCAAGACAGAGACGUCCACACCACGGCCCCUACCAACAGCACCACAUCCGUGUCCUGGGGCAAAUACCGGCCGGGGCCACCUCCGCCAGGGCGCCAGCUCGCUCCCGCAGGACGUCACCCCCGGCAAGCACAGCCUGUCUGCACCGGCAGCUGAAUCCCGCCGGGCCAGGGAAGGUGCCCGGCACUAGCCGGAGAUCUCUUGGCAUUGGCGAAUGAAAGGCAUGUUCAGGAGGAACCAUAGCUCAUCUGGGCUUUGCUAAGAACGACGGAGCCCACGGCCCAGCAGAACGGCCCCAGAGGCACGGCUGACAGGAGCACCCACUGGAGACGAGGGACAGAAAAAGGGAGACUCGUUUAGACAGCGUGAUACCCUGGACACUUCCGUGUGGUUCUCCGGACCUACUCACCGUUCUCCAACCUGCUCUGGACCCCCAGCGGCUGACCUGCAUGGACCACACGAGCAACCCCCAUGUCCUUGGCCAGUGUGAGGGGUGGCCCCACCCCAGCUGGACAACUGGACAACACUGAGGCAGUUUGGGCUUGAAAAAUCACAGACCCCGGGGGCCCUAACAUACUUCCUAAGCCGCUGAUUCCAAACAGUUGGUUAGCAGGCAGUUUCCGGCUAAUUUGCAAAUACUUCAGAUGUUAAUCCCAUUUUUUCCACUAGGAAUAAGCGAGCUUUUAAAUUA